ensembl:lncRNA
GUAUUCUAGAAGUAGGCUAAUCCUUACUCCUGUUUGUAUUCUGAUCUGUGAACAUUUGACAUUAAAAACUGCAGAAGUCUGCCCGGGGUUCCUCUAGGUGAGAUCACACACAAAGAAAAAUAGAAGCCUUGCCACUGUGUUUAGAGCCACAUCUGCUCUUUAACCCCCUUCCCCCCUUUUUUCCUUCAUGAGCUAUCCAGCCCAGGCUGGCCUUGAACUGUUGGCAGCCCUGCCUUAGCCCUAAGUCCUGGGACUACAACAGAAGUCACUGUAUUUGGCUUUCCAGAUAGCCCCUUUUUUUAAUAGCUAUUUUACUUCAGAGUCUGCUUCUCUUUACAAGUAGGACCUUUGUCCAAGUGUGAUGUCACACCCCUAUAAUCACUUAGCAGGCAGAGGGAGUCAGAACUCUGGAACUCCAGGCAUGACCACCUUCAGAACAACCAAGCCACAUAGACCCUUGUCUAAAACAGCAGAAACAUCUGUCGCAUAUGUGGUGUACAUGGUGGACUUGAAACAGUGUAACAGGCAAUGUUUGAAACAGAGGGCCUAGAGAGCUUACCUGAAUGUAAAAUUGUAAAAUAGCGUCAGGUACCUUAGUGAUUAUUUAAUGCCCUUAAAAUAUCCCUCUCUCAGGCUGUAGAGAUGGUGCCUUCUGUGGAUCAGCUGCUUGCCUCACAAUUGGGUCAGCCAGAACCCGGUCAAAUGCUGGGCGGGCCCCCCCUGUAAUUCUAGACGUUGGAAGGUAAAGUUCUCAAAGCAGGCUGGCUGGCUAGACUGGGACACUAGGGAGCUCAGUUGAGACCCUGCCCCAAAGGAUAAGAUGGAGAGCAGCAAGACUGCAGUGCCACAUAUCUACACACAUAACAUGCAGGCACACAUGCACACUACACACAUGAGAAAUGCAAUCAGCUUGUCCAGAUCCACCCCUAUGGAUUCAACUAACCACCAGGGGGAAAUACUCAGAGAAAACCCCUAGACUCAUCAUCUCUUAGUACAAUAUGAGAGCUACACUGUAUUUGGGAUAAGUUGUCUAGAGGUGUGCACAGGAAGGGACUGAGGAUGUAGUCCAGUGAGCUGCCAUAGCAGUCCAGCAACGGUCUGGAUUCAGUCUCCAGCUCAGCAUAAACCAGGCGUGGUGGUACACGUCUGAAAUAUUAGGACUUGGGAAGCAAGACCAGAGGCUCCAGGUCAUCCUGACCACAAUGAAUUUGAGAUUGUAUAUAUUCAUCUUCAAAGCAUUUUCCAUUCUUGUCAGGCAUAGUAACCUCAGCACUUGGAGGCAGAUGCAGCAGGAUGUCUGAGUUCAAGGCCAGCCUGUUCUACACAAUGAGACUGCCUUGUCUUUACGUUCAGUUUUAAAUAACCCAAAUUUUCUUCCAUUGUUCUAUGGGGUUCGCUCUCUUGGUUAAUAGAUCGAUUGGUUGGUUGAUAGGUUGGUUGAUAGGUUGAUAGUUUGGUUGGUUGAUUGGUUGGUUGAUAGGUUGGUUGGUGGGUUGGCUGGUUGGUUGGUUGGUUGGUUGGUUGGUUGGUUGGUUGGUUGGUUGGUUGGUUGGUUGGUAGGUAGGUUGAUUGGUUGGUUGGUUGGUUGAUAGGUUGGUUGGCUGGUUGGUUGGUUGGUAGGUAGGUUGGUUGAUAAGUGGCUGGUUGGUUGGUUGGUUGGUUGGUUGAUAGGUUGGUUGGUUGGUUAGUUUGGUUGAUAGGUUGGUUGGUUGAUUGGUUGGUUGGUUGGUUUGGUUGAUAGGUUGGUUGGUUGGUUUGGUACUGGGGAUGAAGCCAUGCCAGGAAAAUGUGUUACCAAACUAUAACCCCAGCCCCAUCCGAUAUUGAUUUGCAAUUUUAAAAUUACAUGUACGUAUGUAUAUUUGUAUGUAUGUGUGUAUAUGUAUGUAGCAACAGUUCCAGAGUGGAGGUCAGAGGACAACUCGUGAGAGUUGAUUCUCCUACCUUUUGAAUUCUAGAGAUGGGAUUCAAGUUAUCAGGCUUGGAUACACCUUUACUCCUGAUCAUCUCCUGAGCCCUUCUUCCCCAUUAAAUACUAAGUAUUAAUUGUGUGUGUGUGUGUGCACAGCACUUGAAAGAGCAUUUGGGGGUACAUGUAUCUUGGAGGAUGACUCUGUGAUCUGUGGCUAAGUGGAAGUACAGUCAGGACAGAGAAAGCCUUCGUUAGGGUGGCAUGGGAGCAGCCGUCAUUCGUUCAUUCACUCAGCAAGCAGUAAGCAGGUCUAUCAGGUCCUCUUGGGAGUAUUCAGGGUGUUCCCGUGAAUCCUAACCUACACCUUCCUCAGGACAAGCAGAGGAGCUGAGUAAGGUUCAUAGCGUGCCGAGGGGUGAUGGAAGUGUAUGUGGCUGUGAUAGGUAGGAAGAGAUCUGGACGAGGUAGCAGGCAAGCAUGCGGCUCUGGAGGAAAGAUGUGCCAGCAGACAGUGGAGUGC